GGAGGAGCUUGCUUCUCCAAGUCAGUGGCGGACGGGUGAGUAACGCGUGAGUAACCUGCCCUUCAGAGGGGGAUAACGUCUGGAAACGGACGCUAAUACCGCAUGACAUAUUUCCAUCGCAUGGUGGAGAUAUCAAAGGAGCAAUCCGCUGAAGGAUGGACUCGCGUCCGAUUAGAUAGUUGGCGGGGUAACGGCCCACCAAGUCGACGAUCGGUAGCCGGACUGAGAGGUUGAACGGCCACAUUGGGACUGAGACACGGCCCAGACUCCUACGGGAGGCAGCAGUGGGGGAUAUUGCACAAUGGGCGAAAGCCUGAUGCAGCAACGCCGCGUGAGGGAAGACGGUUUUCGGAUUGUAAACCUCUGUUCUAAGUGACGAACAAAUGACGGUAGCUUAGGAGAAAGCCCCGGCUAACUACGUGCCAGCAGCCGCGGUAAUACGUAGGGGGCAAGCGUUGUCCGGAAUUACUGGGUGUAAAGGGAGCGCAGGCGGAGAAGCAAGUCAGUGGUGAAAACGAUGGGCUUAACUCAUCGACUGCCAUUGAAACUGUUUCCCUUGAGUGAAGUAGAGGCAGGCGGAAUUCCGAGUGUAGCGGUGAAAUGCGUAGAUAUUCGGAGGAACACCAGUGGCGAAGGCGGCCUGCUGGGCUUUAACUGACGCUGAGGCUCGAAAGUGUGGGGAGCAAACAGG
rnacentral:rRNA from 1 species